CAGUAGCCGCGGUAAAACGAAGGGGGCUAGCGUUGUUCGGAAUUACUGGGCGUAAAGGGCGCGUAGGCGGCCAUUCAAGUUAGAUGUGAAAGCCCUGGGCUCAACCUAGGAAUUGCAUUUGAUACUGUUUGGCUUGAGUUCGGGAGAGGUGAGUGGAAUUCCCAGUGUAGAGGUGAAAUUCGUAGAUAUUGGGAAGAACACCAGUGGCGAAGGCGGCUUACUGGACCGACACUGACGCUGAGGCGCGAAAGCGUGGGGAGCAAACAGGAUUAGAGACCCGCGUAGUCCCUGUCUCUUAUAC
rnacentral:rRNA from 1 species